rnacentral:rRNA from 1 species
UACGUAGGGUGCAAGCGUUACUCGGAAUUACUGGGCGUAAAGCGUGCGCAGGCGGUUUUGUAAGUCAGAUGUGAAAUCCCCGGGCUUAACCUGGGAACUGCGUUUGAAACUACAAGGCUAGAGUGUGGCAGAGGGGGGUGGAAUUCCACGUGUAGCAGUGAAAUGCGUAGAGAUGUGGAGGAACACCGAUGGCGAAGGCAGCCCCCUGGGUUAACACUGACGCUCAGGCACGAAAGCGUGGGGAGCAAGCAGG